GACUCGCUAGCUCAGUCGGUAGAGCAACGGCCUUUUAAGCCGUGGGUCCUGCGUUCGAAUCGCAGGCGGGUCA
rnacentral:tRNA from 1 species